ensembl:lncRNA
AGGUUCACAAUAAAAGACUUUAAAACAACACAAUUAAACCAGGUAGACUCAGUCUGUCAAAAGAACACAAUUAUUUUGUCCAUACCCUAAAAACAGUCCAAGAAUCCUCGUGUGUUGUUGAGUCCCAAUGUGAGUGUCCAGCAGUGAAUAUACACAAUCCAAUCUGAGUGAAAUCCAAGUGGCUGUAAGUGUCCGGAAAGGCAAGUCCAAUAAAAGUAACUCCACAGUUCGGGUGAAAGUGGAAGCUGUUAAUGGCCUCCCUGUUUGUUUGCCAUGCUGCUCUUCUUGUAGUGCUCCUGCUUCCUGUCAGUUGACUGAUCACCUCACAGGCCAACCAUACAGUUCUUAAAGACACACACACACCAAAAUGGUUAAGAGGCAUAAAAUGGACAUAAGAAACAUGAAAACCAAUUAAAACUCUAUAAUACAUAAAAUCAAUGUCAUAAAUAGAGGGGUUAAAACAUGUCCCUUGUGUGACAGUGUCACAACUUUAUUUCUAAGAUCGAUACUAUUAAAGAUAAAAUUGUAACCAUGCAGCCGUCAGCUACAUUAUCGCAUCAGACAGUGCACUAUAGAUCCCCAGAGGAACAGUUCCACUCAUUCUCUACUAUAGGAGAGGAAGAAUUGUAUAAACUUGUUAAAUCAUCUAAACCAACAAAAUGUAUGUUAGACCCUAUUCCAUCUAAGCUCCUAAAAGAGGUGCUUCCAGAAGUCAUAGAUCCUCUUCUCAUUAAAUCAUACUUUGACCGCCAUACAUGACCGCCAUCAAUUCGUAGCAGUGAAUGAAGAGGUAUCAUAUCGAUCACAAGUGCAGUAUGGAGUACCUCAAGGCUCAGUACUAGGGCCGUCACUCUUCACGUUUUACAUGUUACCCAUGGGAGAUAUCAUCAGGAAACACAGUGUUAGCUUUCACUGUUAUGCUGAUGAUACUCAGCUCUAUAUUUCUUCUCGGCCUGGUGAAAUAUACCAAUUUGAAAAACUAACGGAAUGCAUAGUUGAUAUAAAAAAACUGGAUGAUGAGUAAUUUCUUACUGCUUAAUUCAGAAAAAAAUGGAGGUGUUAAUUAUAGGACCUAAAAACUCUGCAUGUAAUAACCUAGAAUGCUAAGACUUGAUGGCUGCUCUGUCAAUUCUUCGUCAUCAGUUAGGAACCUAGGUGUGCUAUUUGAUGGCAAUCUUUCCUUAGAAAGCCACAUUUCUAGCAUUUGUAAAACUGCAAUAUAACUGCAAAAUAUAUCUAAAUUAUGACCUCUCAAUGUCAAAUGCAGAAAUGUUAAUCCAUGCAUUUAUGACCUAAAGGUUAAAUCAUUGUAAUGCUUUAUUGGGUGGUUGUUCUGCACGCUUAAUAAACAAACUCCAGCUAGUCCAAAAUGCAGCAGCUAGAGUUCUUACUAGAACCAGAAAGUAUGACCAUAUUAGCCCAGUUCUGUCAACACUGCACUGGCUUCCU